rnacentral:rRNA from 1 species
AUUGAACGCUGGCGGUAUGCCUAACACAUGCAAGUCGAACGGUAACAGAGAGAAGCUUGCUUCUUUGCUGACGAGUGGCGGACGGGUGAGUAACGCGUGGGAAUCUACCUCGUAGUUGGGGAUAGCCCGGAGAAAUCCGGAUUAAUACCGAAUAAGAUCUACGGAUGAAAAGGUGCCUCUGCUUGCAAGCACUUGCUAUGAGAUGAGCCCGCGUUAGAUUAGUUAGUUGGUGGGGUAAUGGCCUACCAAGACGACGAUCUAUAGCUGGUUUGAGAGGAUGAUCAGCCACAUUGGGACUGAGACACGGCCCAGACUCCUACGGGAGGCAGCAGUGGGGAAUAUUGGACAAUGGGCGCAAGCCUGAUCCAGCAAUACCGCGUGUGUGAAGAAGGCCUUUCGGGUUUGUAAAGCACUUUUAUGUGGGAAGAAGGGUUGAGUGUUAAUAGCACUUGAUUUUGACGGUACACAGGAAUAAG